rnacentral:tRNA from 1 species
AAGAUUCUAGUUAAAGGAAUAACACUGCCUUGUCAAGGCAAAAUUGUGGGUUAAAGCCCCACGUAUCUUG